CUUAGUCGAUGGCGACCGGCGCACGGGUGAGUAACGCGUAUCCAACCUGCCCUUUACUCGGGGAUAGCCUUUCGAAAGAAAGAUUAAUACCCGAUAGCAUAAUGAUUCCGCAUGGUUUCAUUAUUAAAGGAUUCCGGUAAAGGAUGGGGAUGCGUUCCAUUAGGUUGUUGGUGAGGUAACGGCUCACCAAGCCUUCGAUGGAUAGGGGUUCUGAGAGGAAGGUCCCCCACAUUGGAACUGAGACACGGUCCAA
rnacentral:rRNA from 1 species